rnacentral:rRNA from 1 species
GGGGAAUAUUGCACAAUGGAGGAAACUCUGAUGCAGCGAUGCCGCGUGAGGGAAGAAGGUUUUAGGAUUGUAAACCUCUGUCUUCAGGGACGAAAAAAGACGGUACCUGAGGAGGAAGCUCCGGCUAACUACGUGCCAGCAGCCGCGGUAAUACGUAGGGAGCGAGCGUUGUCCGGAAUUACUGGGUGUAAAGGGAGCGUAGGCGGGAUCGCAAGUCAGAUGUGAAAACUAUGGGCUUAACCCAUAAACUGCAUUUGAAACUGUGGUUCUUGAGUGAAGUAGAGGUAGGCGGAAUUCCCGGUGUAGCGGUGAAAUGCGUAGAGAUCGGGAGGAACACCAGUGGCGAAGGCGGCCUACUGGGCUUUAACUGACGCUGAGGCACGAAAGCAUGGGUAGCAAACAGGAUUAGAUACCCUGGUAGUCCAUGCCGUAAACGAUGAUUACUAGGUGUGGGGGGACUGACCCCUUCCGUGCCGCAGUUAACACAAUAAGUAAUCCACCUGGGGAGUACGGCCGCAAGGUUGAAACUCAAAGGAAUUGACGGGGGCCCGCACAAGCAGUGGAGUAUGUGGUUUAAUUCGAAGCAACGCGAAGAACCUUACCAGGUCUUGACAUCCUGAGAAUCCUUAAGAGAUUAGGGAGUGCCUUCGGGAACUCAGAGACAGGUGGUGCAUGGUUGUCGUCAGCUCGUGUCGUGAGAUGUUGGGUUAAGUCCCGCAACGAGCGCAACCCUUGCUAUUAGUUGCUACGCAAGAGCACUCUAAUAGGACUGCCGUUGACAAAACGGAGGAAGGUGGGGACGACGUCAAAUCAUCAUGCCCCUUAUGACCUGGGCUACACACGUACUACAAUGGCCAUUAACAGAGGGAAGCAAAACCGCGAGGCAGAGCAAACCCCUAAAAAUGGUCCCAGUUCGGAUUGUAGGCUGCAACCCGCCUACAUGAAGUUGGAAUUGCUAGUAAUCGCGGAUCAGCAUGCCGCGGUGAAUACGUUCCCG